rnacentral:lncRNA from 1 species
AGAGGCGGAGGGCUCGGCUGGCUGCUCCAGUCUGCGCCGUCCAUGCGUCUCGGGUGUCCUAUCCCGGAGGAUACAUUUUUCUUUUUCAGAAAAGGGAAACAGGAAAACGGGGACGAUUAGACUCUAUCUAGGGGAGCCAUGUGGAAAAACCAGCUUCAGGCAUCAGACAACAUCCAAGGGGCUGCACUGUUUUUUUGUUUUUUUUUUCUGUAAGAGACAGGGUCUUGCUAUGUCGCCCAGGCUAACCAUAGCUCACUGCAGCCUCUAACUCCUAGGUUCAAGCGAUUCUCCUUCCUCAGCCACCUAAAGUGCUGGGGUUACAGGUGUGAACCACCAUGCCCAUCUAAUUUUUUUUUUUUUUUUUUUUUUUUUUUUGAGACGAAGUCUCGCUCUUGUCCCCUAGUCUGGAGUGCAAUGGCACGAUCUCGGCUCACUGCAACCUCCGCCACCCAGGUUCAAGCGAUUCUCCUGCCUCAGCCUCCCGAGUACCUGGGAUUACAGGCUGGAGUUUAGCUCACUGCAACCUCUGCCUCCUGGGUUCAAGCAAUUCUCCUCCCUCAGCCUUCUGAGUAGCUGGGACUACAGGCUUUAGAACUGGCGGCUUUAUAAGAAGAGAAAGAGAGAUCUGAGCUAGCACACUCAACCCCCUUGCUCUGUGAUGCCCUGUGCCAUCUCGGGACUCUGCAGAGGGUCCCCACCAGCAAGAAGGCCUUCACCAGAGCGGCCCCUUAACCUUGGACUUCCCAGCCUCCAUAACUGCCCCAGACCAUCACAUGAGACCUGAUCAUUCAGAGGAAGGGGAACUACAUGGCAGAGUGGGUACCACAUGCCAGACACUAUGCCAGCAGCUUCCAACUCCUUCACUUCAUCUUGCAUGUCAUACG